GAAUGCGUCUCGGUCAAAGCUCAUCCUUGUGGUGUGGCUGGACUGGCGUUUCCUAUCUUCCGAUAGUGGGGUCAAACUCGCUUCGGAUCGUUUACUUUGAAAAAAUUAGAGUGUUCAAAGCAGGCGUAACCUUGCCAUUGAAUAUUACAGCAUGGGAUAAUAGAAUAUGACGUUGGUCUUAUUUUGUUGGUUUCUAAGGCUGAUGUA
rnacentral:rRNA from 1 species